UACAGAGGUCUCAAGCGUUGUUCGGAUUCAUUGGGCGUAAAGGGCUCGUAGGCGGCCAACUAAGUCAGACGUGAAAUCCCUCGGCUUAACCGGGGAACUGCGUCUGAUACUGGAUGGCUUGAGUUCGGGAGAGGGAUGCGGAAUUCCAGGUGUAGCGGUGAAAUGCGUAGAUAUCUGGAGGAACACCGGUGGCGAAGGCGGCAUCCUGGACCGACACUGACGCUGAGGAGCGAAAGCCAGGGGAGCAAACGGG
rnacentral:rRNA from 1 species